rnacentral:rRNA from 1 species
GAUGAACGCUGGCGGCGUGCCUAAUACAUGCAAGUCGAGCGAACAGACGAGGAGCUUGCUCCUCUGACGUUAGCGGCGGACGGGUGAGUAACACGUGGAUAACCUACCUAUAAGACUGGGAUAACUUCGGGAAACCGGAUCUAAUACCGGAUAAUAUAUUGAACCGCAUGGUUCAAUAGUGAAAUACGGUUGUGCUGGCACUUAUAGAUGUAUCCGCGCCGCAUUGGCUAGUUGGUAAGGUAACGGCUUACCAAGGCAACGAUGCGUGGCCGACCUGCGUGGGUGAUCGGCGACACUGGAAGUGAGACGCGGUCCAGACUCCUACGGGAGGCAGCAGUAGGGAAUCUUCCGCAGUGGGCGAAAGCUUGACGGAGCAACGCCGCGUGAGUGAUGAAGGUCUUCGGAUCGUAAAACUCUGUUAUUAGGGAAGAACAAAUGUGUAAGUAACUAUGCACGUCUUGACGGUACCUAAUCAGAAAGCCACGGCUAACUACGUG